GAUGAACGCUAGCUGGAGGCUUAAUACAUGCAAGUCGAGCGGGAUUGGGUAGCAAUACCCAUGAGAGCGGCGCACGGGUGAGUAACGCGUACACGACCUACCUCUAACAGGGGGAUAGCCCUGGGAAACUGGGAUUAAUACCGCAUAUUAUUCUGAAUAAUAAAGGUUUGGAAUGAAAGCUGAGGCGGUUAGAGAUGGGUGUGCGUCUGAUUAGCUAGUUGGUAGGGUAACGGCCUACCAAGGCGAUGAUCAGCAGGGGGCGUGAGAGCGUGGUCCCCCACACGGGUACUGAGACACGGACCCGACUCCUACGGGAGGCAGCAGUAAGGAAUAUUGGUCAAUGGGCGAAAGCCUGAACCAGCCAUCCAGCGUGCAGGAAGAAGGCCCUAUGGGUUGUAAACUGCUUUUAUCAGGGAAGAAACCUCUGGAUUUACUCCGGAGCUGACGGUACCUGAAGAAUAAGCACCGGCUAACUCCGUGCCAGCAGCCGCGGUAACAC
rnacentral:rRNA from 1 species